CUCUCACCUGACCGGACGGCGUGACGGCUUGCCAUCCGGAAGGGGAACAGGGAGAAAGACUCCCGCAAUAACCGUCUGCGCCCGGAGAAAGUCCCGUUAAAGUGCUUUCGGACAGGGGUUCAACUCCCCUCACCUCCACCA
rnacentral:tmRNA from 1 species